UACAGAGGUCCCGAGAGUUGUUCGGAUUCACUGGGCGUAAAGGGUGCGUAGGUGGUGAGGUAAGUCGGAUGGGAAAUCUCCGGGCUCAACCCGGAAAUGGCAUUGGAAACUACCUUGCUGGAGGAUUUGAGGGGGGAUUGGAAUACUUGGUGUAGCAGUGAAAUGCGUAGAUAUCAAGUGGAACACCAGUGGCGAAGGCGAAUCCCUGGAAAAUACCUGACACUGAGGCACGAAAGCUAGGGGAGCAAACAGG
rnacentral:rRNA from 1 species